rnacentral:rRNA from 1 species
AGAGUUUGAUCCUGGCUCAGGACGAACGCUGGCGGCGUGCUUAACACAUGCAAGUCGAACAAUGAAUUAAGACGAUUUCUUCGGAAUGAAUUUUAAGGAUUUAGUGGCGAACGGGUGAGUACACGUGAGAAACCUGCCUAUCACAAGGGGAUAGCCUCCGGAAACGGUGAUUAAUACCCUUGACAUCACGACAUCGCAUGAUGAUGUGAUUAAAGAUUUAUCGGUGAUAGAUGGUCUUGCGCUGAUUAGCUAGUUGGUGGGGUAACGGCUUACCAAGGCGACGAUCAGUAUCCGGCUUGAAGGGUGAACGGACACACUGGAACUGAGACACGGUCCAGACUCCUACGGGAGGCAGCAGUGGGAAUUUUGCACAAUGGAGGAAACUCUGAUGCAGCGACGUCGCGUGAACGAUGAAGGCCUCGGGCUGUAAAGUUCUGUCCUAGGCGAAGAUAAUGACAGUAGCUUAGAAGCAAGCUCCGGUAAAUACGUGCCAGCAGCCGCGGUAAUACGUAUGGAGCGAGCGUUGUCCGGAAUUAUUGGCGUAAAGGGUACGUAGGCGGUUAUGUGGGUCUGUAUUAAAAGGCAUUGGCUCAACCAAUGUCGGUAUGGAAACUGCAUAACUUGAGUAGAUGAGGGGUAAGUGGGAAUUCCUAGUGUAGCGUGAAAUGCUUAGAUAUUAGGAGGAAUACCAGUGGCGAAAGCGACUUACUAGAAUCUACUACGCUGAGGUACGAAAGCGUGGGGAGCAAACAGGAUUAGAUACCCUGGUAGUCCACGCAGAAACGAUGA